AAACUACCUGGAGCCGGUUACAGGUUGAUCGGGAAUGAUACGACUAAGGGUGGAUGCUCACCAUUUCACCUCGGUGGGUUGAAACUCGCGACGGGCUCUAAUAGGGUGAGUUCGAACGUGUAGAUUUUGUCAGUUGGGAGGCAUCACGGCCCUCCCUA
rnacentral:snRNA from 15 species